rnacentral:tRNA from 1 species
GGAAGGGUGGCAUACCCCGGUGGGAUGUCCAGACUUCAAAUCUGGGAGAGGCUGUCACACAGCUUCUGGUGGGUUCGACUCCCAUACCCUUCC